GAAGAUACACAAUGGUGCAGCGG
rnacentral:siRNA from 1 species